GAGGCGCCGCAAGCCUUCACGCCCCUCGGGCCUUGCAGAUCCCUCUCCCAGUUUCCGCGGCGGUCCGGUGCGGUCAGUACCUGUCUAAAAUCAAUAUUGCCGAGGCCUCCGCAGCAGUCAGGCCCUGCCACCGAGCUGUUCGUUACCUCGGCUCCCGGGUUCCCAGAUCUCUUCAUCCGGGGGCCGCCUCAGGAGGCACCACGCGGGCCCCGCUGCAGCCACGCGCCCCCGGAACCGGACCUAUAGAGCCGGGUGUAACGCAUUGAGCUGGGUGAGCUGGGCAGCCUUGGAGUUGAAAGGACCCCAGGAAUCCAGUCCAGGUCCCCUGUGGUGCAAAUGGGGAAACUGAGGUCCGGACAGGGAGAGGACCUCACCCAGCCGGUGGCUGCCAGGUAACGCAUGUCUUUGGUUUUGUCCCUUUAACUCUGUGAGUCUGGGUCUCAGUCUCCUCAUCUGUCAGUUAUAAAUGAUAAUCCCACUACAGUCCCAGGGCAUUGCCGGAGAAGCUGGCGGCGGCGUGGCAGUUGCUGUUCUCUGAAAAGUCCCCACUGUUCCUGCCCUCCCAGCCUUGGUCUUUGCUGGGCCCUGGGGUCCCUUCCUCAGGCUCCUCCCUGCUGAGCCCGCCCCCCGCACAUCCUGGCUUGGGUCCCUGCAGUAAGCCCUGUUCUCACCCCCACCCCCGUCCAGGAACAAGGGCUGGGAUGCUCUCACCAGCGUCAGCUUCUCUCAUGCUGAAAGCUCUGACUCUUGCACCAUGCCCAGGCCAGAGCCCUCACUCAAUGCACUGAAUAACUGAGCACACACAGGCACACCUGGAAUCCUAACCGCUUCCACGGUCCCCUAAAUGCUCAUCCUGAGCCAGAAAGUCUAACUGACUCUUUUGUUGUUCUUUUUUUUUUUUUUGAGACAAGGUCUCGUUCUGUCUCCUAAGCUGGAGUGCAGUGGUGCAAUCAUGGCUCACUGUAGCCUCCAACUCAUAGGCUCAAGAGAUACUCCUACCUUAGCCUCUCAAGUAGCUAGGGCUGCAGAUGUGACCACCGCACCUGGCUAAUUAUUAUAAUAUUAUUAUUGUUAUUAUUUUUUGAGACGGAAUCUUGCUCUGUUGCCCAGGCUGGAGUGCAAUGGCAUGAUGUCCCGGCUCACUACAACCUCCACUUCCCGGGUUCA
rnacentral:lncRNA from 1 species